GGCUGGUUAGCUAAGCUGCAACAACGUCGUACUGAUAAUAUGAAUGUCAAGAGUUUGAACCUCAUACUGGCCA
rnacentral:tRNA from 1 species